AAACUCGCAUGUCUUAGUAGUGGCUGUCUCUUUUGUGACAAAGCUCUUUUCUACAGCUGGAUUCAGGUUGCAGGAGUCCUGUUCCUGCAUAAAGGUGGGUGUGUUGAACUUCCAGUGACUUUAGGAGUGACGUACGGUGUCUGUAGGCACUCUGCAGGGUAAACUCCCCAAUUCCCAUCAGUGGUCCUCUUGGAGGUGGUAAUAUAUUUUCGUUCUGUGGUUUUUGCCCAGGCUCAGAUUAGUGCCUCCCACAUGGAAGGAGGGAAGGAAAAAAAAAAGAAGGAGAGGGAAGGAGCUACUACAAAUGACAAAAACGUAGCUUUUCUAAAAGUGAUUAGAAUGUGCUUGAGGAUAUGAAUAUUCAUUGGUGAGGCACUGAGUAUGUGCUAAAAAUGUACAUAUUUUCUUUGCAAGGGAAAGUAAUAACAUCACUUUGUAAAAAUUCCUGGGUAUCUAAGAAGUAUUUCCAUUUUCUCUGUCUUUAUAGGAGAAAAUAGGAGGAAAAAAGCCCCAUAACCAAGCCCAAGAGUGAGUUUCUACAUGUGGCUUAUUACAUGGCUGUCUUAAUGCUAGUGCUGGCAGGAGGGAAGGGUCUGGACAGUAGCGUCCACUGUCUUUGAAUUAACAUUCCUUGAUGAAGUGGACUUAAUACUCACAUGCAUGUGAUUGUGGGCCAAGUUGGAGGUUUAUCUGUGUCAUUCGUACAAAGUAGUAAGUUCAUCAGGAUUGAAAACUAGAAUUUCCACAGGAAGUGUACAGAUAUGAGGAAAUGUACCUUUAAUGUUGAAAUAAUUCAAGAUCAGAGUGCCAAUAUGGCCAUGCUCUUGAAAAGGAAGAACUGAAUACACAGCUCAUUUACCAAGGCAAAAGUGUUUAACUAUGACCUUAAGCACAUGCUGCUGCUUGUUAGUUCAACUGAAGCUACACAAACAUGAUAAAAGGUAACUGACCUUUAUUCUGUGCUCUAGGUAUCUGUUUGAUGAUGAUCUCACUUUGUCCAGGGGUUUAACAAGUGUUUACUUUAUAACUCU